rnacentral:misc_RNA from 1 species
GAUGAAGAACGCAGCGAAAUGCGAUAAGUAGUGUGAAUUGCAGAAUUCAGUGAAUCAUCGAAUCUUUGAACGCACAUUGCGCCCCUUGGUAUUCCAUGGGGCAUGCCUGUUCGAGCGUCAUUUGUACCUUCAAGCUUUGCUUGGUGUUGGGUGUUUGUCCUGAGGGACUCGCCUUAAAGUAAUUGGCAGCCAGUGUUUUGGUUUUGAAGCGCAGCACAAGUCGCGAUUCAAGGCUAUACGCCAGCUUCCACAAGCCUUUGUCACUUUUGACCUCGGAUCAGGUAGGGAUACCCGCUGAACUUAAGCAUAUCAAUAAGCGGAGGA